AGUGCUCACUUCAGCACUAUAUGUCUAUAAUUAGAAUGCUACAGGGUAGCUUAGUGUGGCCCCUGCACAAGGCUGACACUCGUGUGUGAAGUCUUCCAUAGUUAA